rnacentral:tRNA from 1 species
GCCGAAAUAGCUCAGUUGGCAGAGCGUUAGACUUUGGAUCGAAGGUGCCUGGUUCGAUCCCAGGCUUCGGCA